rnacentral:other from 1 species
CGCUUUCUGUGGUGUUCGAGUAAUGGGCCGGGUAACCCCUUGAUCCUAGUUUAUUUUACCCAGGGAACAUGGCUGUCGAUGUAGGUGUGCAUGUCCGUCUCGUUACGGAAAGCCUGAAUAUGUCGCCCUGUUCCCCCACUUGAGCCGCAUGGUUCAAGGGCGAAGGCCCGAGACGGCACAGGCGGAGAGCGC